rnacentral:rRNA from 1 species
UUCGUGUGAACAGUGGUUGAUCACGAGUUAGUCGGUCCUAAGUUCAAGGCGAAAGCCGAAAAUUUUCAAGUAAAUAAAAAUCAAAUAUAUUUGUAAAUUUUAUAGAUUUUAAUGCACUUGAAUAAUUUUGAACGAAAGGGAAUACGGUUCCAAUUCCGUAACCUGUUGAGUAUCCGUUUGUUAUUAAAUAUGGGCCUUGUGCUCAUCCUGGCAACAGGAACGACCAUAAAGAAGCCGUCGAGAGAUAUCGGAAGAGUUUUCUUUUCUGUUUUAUAGCCGUACUACCAUGGAAGUCUUUCGCAGAGAGAUAUGGUAGAUGGGCUAGAAGAGCAUGACAUAUACUGUUGUGUCGAUAUUUUCUCCUCGGACCUUGAAAAUUUAUGGUGGGGACACGCAAACUUCUCAACAGGCCGUACCAAUAUCCGCAGCUGGUCUCCAAGGUGAAGAGUCUCUAGUCGAUAGAAUA